GAUUGUUAGAUAAGUUUGUCUCUGUGCUGCACUCCUCGCGAGCAUUUACAAUUGAAUUCUACUCUCUGACUCUUAUUUGACUGUUGUGUCUUUCUCUUUUUUGCAGUUUAAUGAUGUUUAGGUGAUUUUAAACCUAACAUUACUUUGGUCCUUCGAGCCGGAUGUCAACAUACCUGAAGGGUUCCAGCGGACGAGACUGAGACUAGCAAAAUCCUUGGCCAAGGUACUGAGACCCUUUGGCGGGACUGGCUCGGUCCGCCGGCUGGGAUCCGGAAGGUUGAAGACAAGUCCGAGAGGGGAAGACAGCGGUUGAGUGAGUAGAAUUUUAAUUGAAAAACUGAAAGUGUGAAUGGUGACAGAAGGUCACGUAAAAGUGUAAAACAGUGGAAAUAGUGACAAACCCUGAGAAUUCUAGACAAUGUCAGGUGACGAUAAACGCAGUUAAAUCCCGUGUUUUAGGAUGAACAGAAUCCUCUAUUAUUAAAUAGUUAAAGUCUGUGUUAGGAGGUACGGGCUCCUCUGGCGUCUAAAUUACUACCGGUACAACGUGUGACUGUGUAAUAAAGGUGACUGAAUGAGAGUGACGGGUCAUUAGAUCCUCCUCUAUAUAAAAUUACGGGAAGGUAAACAGCGACCACUGAUCAGAGGCAGAGGCAAGGAUUUCCCGCUUCCUUCGGGGAGGAGAAAGGGAACUCACUGACUGGUGGAAAAUUUAAAUUCGCUGUCCCGUAAGAAACAUAUAACCAGUGUUUAGAACACUGUAGGUGUUGAUAUAUCACUGGUCUAAAUUUUAUCUUUAUAAAAACACAAAAAGAUAAAAACAAAGUAAAAAUGGGGAAGUCAAACAGUAAGACACAAAAACAGGAUCCGCGGGAUCGUCUAAGUAACAAAGAUUGGAAAUUUAUGGAACAAAAAGAUCCUACACGCUGUAGCUUUAAGAUGGUGAUUAUUAUCUAUCAAUUUUCUAUUCCUGCUCACUCCAUUUAAUAUCCCAGUAGUCAUGGGGUGUGAGGCAGGGUAAUUAUUAUUAUUAUUUAUUAUUAUUUUAAUUUAUCACUUGAACUUUGCAGUCUUGUAGUGGAUAGUUAGCAUCUAUGUAUUGAUCAAUCACCCAGUUAUUUCUGUUCAUUUUAAGUGCUGUAAAAACCUGAAUGCAGUCAAAAUAUGAUUCCCUGUCCUGUUACAGCACUAGCGUAAUGAAAUAAUGUUUUGUUAUUUUAUCAAUUUAUUUGUGUGAAAGUCAGGAUGUUUACUUUUUGUAUUACUUCUCACCUCGGUAUGCAUUCAUUUCAUUCUUUUCUCUGCUAUUUUGAGUUAUCGACCGUAUGUUAUGUAGACUUGGAAACUGCAAAAUAUCUCCAGAUGUUGGGAGUUUUGACAACCGUUAUUGCUUUUAUUUUCUUUUUAAUUAUGUUUUUACUUUUUUGUUUGUUUUCAGAAAAUCCACUUCCCAGUUUGAAUACUUUGAACAAGGAUGAAGUUAUUAGGUUAUAUAUGUUGUCUGUUUUGUUUCAUUUUGCCAUGUGUUCUGCAUUUAAUGCCCUCAACAGUUUGAUAUAAUUAUUAUAUCAAAGAAAAAAAUGAUUUUUCCCCUCACAAACACAAA